GGCGGCAUAGCUCAGUUGGCUAGAGCACUCGGUUCAUACCCGAGGUGUCGUAGGUUCAAGUCCCACUGCCGCUACCA
rnacentral:tRNA from 1 species